UGUUCCUAUCAUUACUGUUCUUUCUGCUGUGUUCAGAUGGGACCCUUCCUGUUUGAGUGUAACCAUGCCUGCUCAUGCUGGAGAACAUGCCGGAACCGACUGCGGUUAUAAUGCUUUCCUCUUCCCCUCGCUUCUCAGAUGCAAGCUUUUGAAUGAGUCAUCACCCAGCUGUGGCUAUUAAGUAUAUUACGAUGUUGUAUAGGCAUGUGAAUGUUCUGAGUGCAUUUUAAUAGUUUGGUAUUAUAAAAGAUGAAAUUUUAAAUGAAAUUUAUUCUAUUAAACUCUUUUUGGAGCUUUUGAGUCAUUAGGUAGGUCUUCUGGACUCCCAGAAUAGGCUAAGGUGUGAGAUCUCUGCAGGAUAUUACUGAAGGAACUUUCAGGUGCAAAUAUGGCCUCCUUCUCACAUCCAUUUAAAGCAAUUACAUCCAUUAAAAGCAAUUGUUUUUUAACCAUAAGGGACUGUUUUUUUGAUGUGUGAUUGUAUUAAUGACUAAGACAGCAAGAGGUGCAGAACUGGAAACAUUUAGAUGCUGUUGGACUAUUUAAAUAGAAUAUACUGUGGAUUUUUCAUGUCCAACACCUUAAAUAGUAACUAUCAGAACUCUGCAGAAAGAGAUUUUAAUUGAACAUGAAAUGUAGCAGGCAAAGGGAUCCGUAAUGGCUAUUAUUAAUUAUUCAUCCAUAAUAAAUUUCAUGCUGUUUGUGUCAAAUACAUUUACCCAGUGGCUUUGCUGCGUGAGCAGAUUUGCUGGUGAGAUCAUUUCAGAUGGAGAAGUGAACGUCAAGGAGAACGACUCAUACAUGUUCAAUCUGGACAGUAAGGUUGAUGAGGUCUGCGGCAUUGAUGCCCAGUUCUACAGCAAUGUCAGCAGGUUUAUGAACCACCUGUGUAAACCCAAUCUGUUCCCGUGCGAGUGUUCACCAAGCACGGGGAUCUGUGCUUCCCACGUGUUGUUCUCUUCUCCAGAAAAGCCAUAGGCUGGAGAGGGGUUUGGAUUGGGAGAUCAAGAGGAAGUAUUUCAACUGUCAGUGUGGUGCAGGCUCUCGAAGGCUGUCUUGGGCCACAGCCAUGUAAACAGCUCAGUCCAAACGCCCACUGUCCAGUCCUCAGCUCAGGUAGCCAGCACUGAGCGCAUUCACUCGGCCGGCACUGCCAGAGCAGUAACCCAACCCUGAGGUCUGCCUCGAGAAUA